CAAACUGGAGAUGGCGACCGGCGCACGGGUGAGUAACACGUAUCCAACCUGCCGAUAACUCGGGGAUAGCCUUUCGAAAGAAAGAUUAAUACCCGAUGGCAUAAUAGAACCGCAUGGUUUGAUUAUUAAAGAAUUUCGGUCAUCGAUGGGGAUGCGUUCCAUUAGGUUGUUGGCGGGGUAACGGCCCACCAAGCCUUCGAUGGAUAGGGGUUCUGAGAGGAAGGUCCCCCACAUUGGAACUGAGACACGGUCCAAACUCCUACGGGAGGCAGCAUG
rnacentral:rRNA from 1 species